rnacentral:rRNA from 1 species
UACGUAGGGUGCAAGCGUUGUCCGGAUUUAUUGGGCGUAAAGAGCUCGUAGGCGGCUCGUUGCGUCAACCGUGAAAACCCGGGGCUUAACUUCGGGCUUGCGGUUGAUACGGGCGGGCUGGAGUUCGGUAGGGGAGCAGGGAAUAUCCGGUGUAGCGGUGAAAUGCUUAGAGUAUCGGGUGGAACACCAGUGGCGAAGGCGCUGCUCUGGGCCGGUACUGACGCUGAGGAGCGAAAGCGUGGGUAGCAAACAGG